GAUACCCGGGUAGUCCACGCCGUAAACGAUGAUUACUGGAUGUGUGCGAUAGACAGUACGCGUCUGAGCGAAAGCGUUAAGUAAUCCACCUGGGGAGUACGACCGCAAGAUUGAAACUCAAAGGAAUUGACGGGGGUCCGCACAAGCGGUGGGGCAUGUGGUUUAAUUCGAUGAUACGCGAGGAACCUUACCUGGGCUAGAAUGCGAUUGACCUCUUCAGAGAUGAAGAUUUCUUCGGACAUGAAGCAAGGUGCUGCAUGGCCGCCGUCAG
rnacentral:rRNA from 1 species